rnacentral:rRNA from 1 species
CGAACGCUGGCGGCGUGCUUAACACAUGCAAGUCGAGCGAUGAAGUUUCUUCGGAAAUGGAUUAGCGGCGAACGGGUGAGGAACACGUGAAGAAUCUGCCCUCCACUUUGGGAUAACACCGGGAAACCGGUGCUAAUACUGAAUAUUGAAACAUAAGUGGCAUCACUGAGUUUUGAAAGAAUUUCGGUGGAGGAUGACUUCGCGGCCUAUCAGCUAGUUGGUGAGGUAAAGGCUCACCAAGGCGACGACGGGUAGCCGGCCUGAGAGGGCGACCGGCCACACUGGGGACUGAGACACGGCCCAGACUCCUACGGGAGGCAGCAGUAGGGAAUAUUGGGCAAUGGGCGCAAGCCUGACCCAGCGACGCCGCGUGAGGGAUGAAGGUCUUCGGAUUGUAAACCUCUUUCAGUAGGGAAGAAGCGAAAGUGACGGUACCUAAAGAGAAGCACCGGCUAACUAUGCGCCAGCAGCCGCUGUAAUCUGAUGGCGCGAGG